GGGAGUUCACCGUGGACGCCGGCGCCGCGGCCCAGUGCCGUGUCGACGACGGCCCGUGGGCUCCAUGCGGCGGCGUCCUGACCGCCGACCUCGUGGAUGCGCUGGAUGGCACGCACGCCCUCGAGGUCCGGGCCGUCGAUGACGUCGGCAACGUCGGACCCGUGGCGCUGGCCGCCUAUGACCUCGACCGGGUGUCACCCGGACAGGUCACCUUCACAGCCGAGCCCCUGUCACCCGGGAACGAUGUCGACCCCACAUGGACGUUCACCUACGAGCCAGGCACCACGGCCUGGUGCACCCUCGACGGAGCGGCGGCCGAGGCGUGC
rnacentral:misc_RNA from 1 species